GAAAAAUCUGAUCUGUGUUUGACAUACUGAAAUAUUGAGUAGCUGAAUAGAAGAAAGAACAUGCAAAUAAGACAUAUACUACACAGUCAGAGGAAGCCAUCUCUCAGUGACAUUGAGGUGAGAAUCUUACAUCACACUAUGAAGACUAAUGAAAGAAUAAUAAAGGAAUGAUAGAAGAAAACUGUUGCCAUCAAGUUGCAGACACUACCAUGAUGCCAACCUGACUUCUCUGGGCAGAUGACUUCACCAAUGUGUCCUGGAACCCCACCUCCCCAGACUCUGAUCCCACUAGGGAAAGAUAUAAUUACAGAAAUCACACCUUCUGCCCACAUAAUGAUCCUGGGUCCAUACUCCAAGAGAGAUAAAAGAUAGGAAAGCUUCCAGUAGAGGGGAUGAGAUAUGGAAUUCUGGUGGGAAUUGUAUGGAUUUGUACCCCCUU